ACGCACGCUGGCGGCGUGCUUCACACCUGCAAGUCGAACGGAAAGGCCCUGCUUUUGUGGGGUGCUCGAGUGGCGAACGGGUGAGUAACACGUGAGUAACCUGCCCUUGACUUUGGGAUAACUUCAGGAAACUGGGGCUAAUACCGGAUAGGAGCUCCUGCUGCAUGGUGGGGGUUGGAAAGUUUCGGCGGUUGGGGAUGGACUCGCGGCUUAUCAGCUUGUUGGUGGGGUAGUGGCUUACCAAGGCUUUGACGGGUAGCCGGCCUGAGAGGGUGACCGGCCACAUUGGGACUGAGAUACGGCCCAGACUCCUACGGGAGGCAGCAGUGGGGAAUAUUGCACAAUGGGCGGAAGCCUGAUGCAGCAACGCCGCGUGCGGGAUGACGGCCUUCGGGUUGUAGACCGCUUUCGCCUGUGACGAAGCGUGAGUGACGGUAAUGGGUAAAGAAGCACCGGCUAACUACGUG
rnacentral:rRNA from 1 species